rnacentral:rRNA from 1 species
UACGUAGGGUGCAAGCGUUGUCCGGAAUUAUUGGGCGUAAAGAGCUCGUAGGCGGUCUGUCGCGUCCGUUGUGAAAACUCGAGGCUCAACCCUCGGGCUUGCAGUGGAUACGGGCAGACUAGAGUGCGGUAGGGGAGACUGGAAUUCCUGGUGUAGCGGUGGAAUGCGCAGAUAUCAGGAGGAACACCGAUGGCGAAGGCAGGUCUCUGGGCCGCAACUGACGCUGAGGAGCGAAAGCAUGGGGAGCGAACAGG